UGCUCUUGACUGCUGAACUCUUUCUCCGGCCCCUGUAGCUGCUUCUCAGAUUGCAUAAAGAUCAUUGUCACCAAGCAGAGCUGAAUAGAGAGCAACACAAGGCGCAAGCUUUAAGCUGUUCCAGGCUUUGAACCGUGUCUACUCUCCACCUCUCAUCAGUGUUGCCGUUAUCCUGAGCAUGGGUCUUGCCCUUCUACCUCAAGAGCAUCGCCUGCCACCAGCUCGAAGACACGGGACAAUCUGGAGCUUCAAACCCAUGUGACAGUCUACUCUGGUCUGGACCUCUGUCCAUUCUCUCUGCUCUAACACAGAGUUCUAGAAAAUAUGCAAUUCUGUAGAGACAUGGUUACCAGAAAAUGGAGCAGCCUGGCUCAUUUAAAAGUCUUGCAGUGAUAAAAUGCUCGGACGGAAGCAACAUGGAGGAGACAGGGUUUGUUCUAGCACACAGCUCUGGUGUGGAACUGUGUGGAGAAGCCACAGGGGACUUGGAGGCAAGCCGGGAGAGAGGGAGGAGAAAGAGAUCGCCAUGAUGGGGAAGAAGGAAGAGGAGACCUAAAGGCCAGCUGACAUGACCAACGGUACUGUUGCUCUAGCUACAGGAAUAAUCCUGGGCAGCACUUGUUGACCUUGGUCACUGUCAAGGGAAGAUCGGCUGUUCCCACUGAGGGCAUCUUGAUGGAUUAAGGUGAUCAGCUGAUCAAUGUGAGGGGACAGAUGGGAGCUAGGAACUGUCUCGGUACUGAGUCAUUUUUCAUCUAAUGUGCAAGAAACCCAAAGAGCACAUCAAACAGCGAACUACGCCUAAGCUAUCCAUGUUUCUCCUGCUUCUUCUGAGAGGGUGAUUUACACGUAGCUCAACACUCGAGUGUUGCAGUAUCGAGUGACUGCAACCAAACAAUGGAACAUGCAUCGUGCCUGUUGACAGAGCCUGCAGUUGGCUUGGAACCGGGACCAUGCUGCAUUCGACAUCGUUCCUGGUGGCUGACUUGUUCCCAUAGAAUUAAAUGCUAGGCAUCCAGAAGCUGACUGUGCAUCUGAUGGGCUCACUAACAUUCAGGAACAGGUUGGCCUCAGACUUCAUCAAUGGAAAGUGUAGGCAUAGGACAAAAAAAAGAGCACGUUUGAAAGACUACAUUUUCAUGAAAUUGGAAAUGCUACAUGCAAGCUGCAGAUGCUGAUUGCAGAGUCAGAAGACAUGGCCGUCAGUGUUAGGACUCUGCCUUAUUCUGCUAUUUCUCCUUGACGACCUACAGUUUGCAUUGUGGGUGGCAUUCAUUAACGAGGGCAGUAAAAACAUGGAGAAAACAUUGCAAGCUCUCCUUCGUGUUUCGCUCACUGGCCAAGUAGCUAACCAACUAGGUGUUCAGGCUCCCAUGUGUCUCAAUAUGAUGUGGCUCCUUCCAGUAGCAACCAUCCUGAGCAGAGACCUUUGUUCUAAUUUAAAAAUUAGACAUGAUAUAGAGCUUACCACACAUUUUUCCCCCUGAAGAUUAAAGAUCUUCAUGAAGGUACUGGCUUAAAAGACAUCAACCCCAAGCCUUUCGAAGGAUAUGCACUUGAGAUUGCCAUACUCGAUGGUGCGUCCAAUUAACUUAGAAAUACCCUUGACAUUUCUCAUCCGUGAAGAGAAGCUUUAGGUGACAGUUUUCAUGGUGUGGGUACUCUCGGUGCCUAAUUUGCUUUUUUUUCUUGUUUUCAAGCCUGAAAGGGAAAUAGCCUUGGCUUUCAGCUCUGGAGCGCGAUGCCCUCCUUACGAGUAUUCAGCUACUGUCUGAACCAUUGUACUUGCCUUCCCCUCCAUACCCCUUUUUCCCCAAAGUCCCGUUGAUAGCUCAUU
rnacentral:lncRNA from 1 species